UACGUAGGGUGCAAGCGUUGUCCGGAAUUAUUGGGCGUAAAGAGCUUGUAGGCGGUUUGUCGCGUCUGCUGUGAAAUUUCGGGGCUCAACCCCGAACUUGCAGUGGAGACGGGCAGACUAGAGUGUGGUAGGGGAGACUGGAAUUCCUGGUGUAGCGGUGAAAUGCGCAGAUAUCAGGAGGAACACCGAUGGCGAAGGCAGGUCUCUGGGCCAUAACUGACGCUGAGAAGCGAAAGCAUGGGGAGCGAACAGGAUUAGA
rnacentral:rRNA from 1 species